AUUGAACGCUGGCGGCAGGCCUAACACAUGCAAGUCGAACGGUAACAGGGAUCAGCUUGCUGAUUCGCUGACGAGUGGCGGACGGGUGAGUAAUGUCUGGGAAACUGCCUGAUGGAGGGGGAUAACUACUGGAAACGGUAGCUAAUACCGCAUAACGUCGCAAGACCAAAGAGGGGGACCUUCGGGCCCCUUGCCAUCGGAUGUGCCCAGAUGGGAUUAGCUAGUAGGUGGGGUAACGGCUCACCUAGGCGACGAUCCCGAGCUGGUCUGAGAGGAUGACCAGCCACACUGGAACUGAGACACGGUCCAGACUCCUACGGGAGGCAGCAGUGGGGAAUAUUGCACAAUGGGCGCAAGCCUGAUGCAGCCAUGCCGCGUGUAUGAAGAAGGCCUUCGGGUUGUAAAGUACUUUCAGCGGGGAGGAAGGGAGUAAAGUUAAUACCUUUGCUCAUUGACGUUACCCGCAGAAGAAGCACCGGCUAACUCCGUG
rnacentral:rRNA from 1 species